CUCACAUGGUCUCUGCCGGCAACCAGGCGACCACGGGCACAGUGUUGGCUACCCCUGAUAUAAGGAAACAGGUGGAACGGCGCCCCCUUGACUGUAAUGUGUGUCAAACAAAAGUGUAGCUCACUGGGUGUAGCCAGGUGAAGAUGGUACCAUUGUUUGGUAACAUGCUGAUGGGAAACUGGAUUGUAAAGACUGCAGAAAAAGGAGUUCUGAAGAGAGCCAGUGUAGGCCACCACCAGUAGACCAGCAGACAAGCAGACAGUUAAGCUAACAAUGUCAAACAACCAGCAGAGUUAGCAAAUUAUGUUAAUGCUAUCAACCACUGAGCUUAUGACAAGCUUUUUUUAAGCUAGCCACCAAAAAGUUUCAAAAGUUGAUUCCUGGACUUCUACAGCGACUGAGAAUAGAAGUUGUAGCUAAUUAGAAAUUGGAGCAUGGCCCAGACAGGACAAGUGGAUAGAGCUGAAGCACCUGUGCACAGGAGAAAAUUGGACAUUUAACAUGGAGUCGUGGAAAGCCUCAAGUCCAGAGGGAACUAUGACAUCGUUCUUGGACAUGUUUCCUUCAGCUGGACUUCAACUGGGCCUGGAGCCAGGAAGCAUCCCCACAUCAUGAUGCUGCCACCACCAUGCUUCACCGUGGGGCUGCAGUGUGACUGAGGCAUUACCUACAAAAUGGAAAUCUGGUUUCAAAAUGAACUACGAAUCUGUUGAAAUAUCGGCUGAGGCUGUAGUUUCUCCAGUUUGUAUCUUAUCUUAUAAUAAAAGGAAGCAAAAUGUGUAAUGAUCUUGAAUAGAGACAAAGGUGUAUUCAUCACUGUGGAUU
ensembl:lncRNA